AACGCGAAGAACCUUACCAGGGUUUGACAUCCUGCGAAUCCCUUGGAAACGAGGGAGUGCCUUCGGGAACGCAGAGACAGGUGGUGCAUGGCUGUCGUCAGCUCGUGUCGUGAGAUGUUGGGUUAAGUCCCGCAACGAGCGCAACCCACGUCUUUAGUUGCCAGCAUUCAGUUGGGCACUCUAGAGAGACCGCCGGUGAUAAACCGGAGGAAGGUGUGGAUGACGUCAAGUCAUCAUGCCCCUUACAUCCUGGGCUACACACGUACUACAAUGCUACGGACAAAGGGCAGCAAGCUCGCGAGAGUUAGCAAAUCCCAUAAACCGUGGCUCAGUUCAGAUCGUAGGCUGCAACUCGCCUACGUGAAGGAGGAAUCGCUAGUAAUCGCAGGUCAGCAUACUGCGGUGAAUACGUUCCCGGGCCUUGUACACACCG
rnacentral:rRNA from 1 species